rnacentral:misc_RNA from 1 species
GAUGAAGAACGUAGCGAAAUGCGAUAAGUAGUGUGAAUUGCAGAAUUCAGUGAAUCAUCGAAUCUUUGAACGCACAUUGCGCCCUUUGGUAUUCCUUAGGGCAUGCCUGUUCAAGCGUCAUUUAAACCUUCAAGCUCAGCUUGGUGUUGGGUGACUGUCCGCUUCACCGCGGACUCGCCUCAAAAUUAUUGGCGGCCGGUACAUUGGCUUCGAGCGCAGCAGAAACGCGAACUCGGGCCCGUCGUAUUGGCUCCCAGAAGCUAUCUUCACAAUUUUGACCUCGGAUCAGGUAGGGAUACCCGCUGAACUUAAGCAUAUCAAUAAGCGGAGGA